rnacentral:tRNA from 1 species
GAGGGUAUAGCUCAGUGGUAGAGUGCAUGCUUAGCAUGCACGAGGUCCUGGGUUCAAUCCCCAGUAACUCCU